rnacentral:rRNA from 1 species
CCAGCAGCCGCGGUAAUUCCAGCUCCAAUAGCGUAUAUUAAAGUUGUUGCAGUUAAAAAGCUCGUAGUUGGAUUUCUGGAGGGACAAGAUUGUCGGUCUGCGACUUGUGCAAUCAUGUCCUUCCAUCCUUCUGUUAACGGAGUCUGGCCUUCAAAAGUCGGAUUUCGGGCUCAGAUAUUUUACCUUGAGAAAAUUAGAGUGUUUCAGGCAGGCUUCACGCCGGAAUACAUUAGCAUGGAAUAAUAGAAUAGGACUUUAGUCUCUUUUGUUGGUUUGAGGGACUAGAGUAAUGAUUAAUAGGGAUAGUUGGGGGCAUUAGUAUUUAAUUGUCAGAGGUGAAAUUC